GUGCUUGCUUUGGCAGCACAUAUACUAAAAUUGGAAUGAUACCCUGCACAAGGAUGACACACAAAUUCGUGAAGUGUUCCAUAUAUAU
rnacentral:snRNA from 1 species